rnacentral:piRNA from 1 species
UUCAUUCAAACUUUGAAGCGUUGGUUGUGU